CUUGACUUUGUGAUCCACCCACCUCGGCCUCCCAAACUGCUGGAACUACAGGUGUGAGCCACUGCACCCGGCCAACUUAAUCACCUCUUAAAGGUUCCACCUCUUAAUUUUGGAAGUGGCAUUCAAGCCAUAGCAACAAGUAUAAGUAAUUUAACUGGAGCUGUGCAAAGACCAGUUGGAAGGCCAUCCUAAUGAUCCAGCUGGAAGGUGUUGGGCAUAUGAACCAGAGUGAGAAUGUAAAAGAGGGGCCAGUGUCAUAAUGCAGGCCUGGUCCUCAAUACAAUUGUUAGGAAUUGACAUCUAAGAUAAUGAUGUAAAAUUUUAUUUUGAGUCACAUAGCCAUCCAGAAUACAUGUUGAGAACAGAUAAGGUGAAAAGAGGGCAACUAGCAUGUCAGCUUGUAUGGUGUGUAGAACUUCGUCUUAUAAAAGGCAGGCUGAGGACUACCUGCCUUGGAAUCUCCUGGGAGGCAUGCCAGGAGUUCUUGGGCUACACACAAUUCAGUCAUCUUGCUAGGCCUUAAAGUGUGCGAUCACUGGGUUAGAAUUCCAAUAUAAUGGUACCAAAGAGAUUAGGAUGCUUCCUGGGUGGACUCUUAGUUUGAGAUUGCCCUCGCAAUUCCAGCUCUUCUAUCUUGGACCUGAGUCAGCCGAGGUUAGAAUAAAGAGGGUUUAAAGCAAGACUUUUAUUCCUGCUAGAAAAUAGCUCUAAAUUUAUGCCUACAUUUUAGUAGGUCUUACAUGUCUCUUUUUCAUAUUAAAGACAAUGAGUAUCUAUAGCUCUGAAACCUCUCUGGGAUCUCAGGCCCCUUCACUUUUGUAAAAAUUAGGCCCCCAAAGGGCUUUUGUUUAUGUGGCUUGUAUGUAUCAACAUGUGCCCUGUCAGAAAUUAAAGCCAUGUUAGAAAUUUUUAUAAAAGAAUAAUAAACUCCUAACAUUAAUAUAAAAAAGCAUUUUUUAUAAAAAUCAACAAUUUAAAAAAAAUAGUGAGAAGAUUGGAAAAUCUUUUCAAUCUAGUUUAAUAGAAGAGGGCUGGAUUCUCACAUCUGCUUCACUUUUAAUCUGUUGUUAUAUGUGUUUGGGUUGAAGUACAUAAAGAAUGUCUAGUCUCACGUAGAUAAUUCAAAAAGAGAGGCAUGUUUUAGUAACCUUUUUAGGUAACUGUUGACUGUCUUAUUUGAUGCUACACUGAAAUUCUUCAACAGGUGGUUUCUUAAACAUCAGUUGUAAUGCAGAAUCUGAAAACCUUAUCAGGGAACUUUUUAUACUUAGUUAAUUAACUUGCAUUGGUCUCUCUUGUAUUUGAAUGUAUUUUUUAUCUAUGCAUAGUUUUGUAAAAUCAUGCCAUUGGUCAUUUGGAAAAUAUUGGUUCACUAGGAAGUGUAGAGCUUCUAAAUGUUUACAGAUUACUUUAUGAAUAUCUGUCUGUUAAUAUCACCACCAGUCUCAUCAUUGAAAAGCUGUCAAGCUCACUCAAAACUUAGCUGAAACAAAUUUUCUAAGAUUCUAGCUUUUGCUUGAAAACAAAUUUUAUCACUGACAACAAAUACUAUCAUUUGUUUUCCUUGAAAUGUCAGGCUUAUGCAUCUAGUUUUGGGAAAAUGUCUAUCAAAUACUCAAAUCUGAAUAAUAAUAGUUUGUCAGUUGAAAUUUCAAGUAAAAAUGGAGUUGUGUGUAAAAAAAAAAAAAAAAGUAGCUUACAAUUCAAACAGUUGUAUAGGUCCUUAUUGUCCAGUCAACCAUCUACUUUGGUAUGUAACAACAGUGUAUUUUGCUUACUUCCCAUUUAGUCACAUAGAAUAUUUUAAAAGGCGUGUUCAAGAGCUAAUUUAAUAAAACUAAUAACCUUUAUGCUGCAUUAAGGGAAUUCUCAGGUGAAACUGGCUUUUUCUCCCCCUGCAAGUAUGUGGUAGUUAAGAAUACGGUGACUACUUGUUUGUCACCAGUACCUCUGUGAGUGUUGAGUCACCUUUACCCACCUUUGCUUUUGUACCAUAUGUGAAAACAGCAAAUAAUGUCUUAGUGUAAUUACUAACGUAGUUUUGUUCUCCUAUGUCUUCCAAAAGGGUCUUGAAGACUUACCUUUUGAGAACCGCUGCUUAAUGUUGGCAGACUUACUGGCUGUCUUCUGCUAAGUACAUCAUUGUUACAUAAACCAAGUCUUAGUUUUUACUUCCAUUAAUAAGGAUUGUAUUUUUUGUGGUCUCUGCUUUAGAGCCACCAGCUAGUCAAAUGGCUUAAAGUGACACUUACAUGCUCUUCUUUGGGUAGCUGAGGGAGGCCCUGUUGGUGUCCCAGCCAUAACUCCAUUUCUGUGGGUAUAGCCUGUGCCUUGAGGGUGAGAGUUGGGGUCUCUGACUACUUCAAUUUGCUUUGCCUGGGUGCUUUGGGCAAACCAGAGGUGCUAGGAAAUUAAAGCCUGCCUUCCUCAACAGCCCCCAAGCCACCACUGAUAGGCAAUUGGGCAGAGUCAGGAGAGGUGGCUAAGACACAACCCCUUUACCCCUAGCAUCUGUUCUGUGCUAUAGCUCCCAGUGUUCCAGCAGGAUUAAACUCGGAGUCUCUGGCUUGAUAAACCCUCCUUUUGUGCAUUAUUAUCUCUUCCUCUGUUUUACAUCCAACUCUGCCACUGGUGCUUCUCGUAGUCACCUCUCAAACUUUAUACUGGGGGAAUUAAAAAUAAGGCAAAAUAAGGUUUCUUUGCUGACUAUCUUCUAGCCUUUAGGGGAAGGAAGAACAUUUUUUUCUUCUUUUCUCAGAACAUUUUCUUAUGGUAGAUGUCUAAUAAAUAUAGAAAUACCUUACUAAAUGAAUCUUUUAGGCUAUGCAGUUAGCCGUACAUACAGAAGUGUGUGGAGUAUUUGUGCUUGGCAGUUUGGACCUGGAGGAAGUGCAGGUAUGGGUGGUUGGCAUUGUUCACCGUAAGUAUUAACAGGCAGUGAGUGGGAGACAGGAUCCUUAAGCAGCACAAGACCACCCCAGGUAUUUUCCUCAGGGCUCUAUAAUAAUUAUUAAUUGCUGGAUCCAGUCUAGACACUCUGCCUGAUUUACAAAGCCAUCCAUAUUCUGUUUUCACACUAGCCAUUUACUUGUCAAUAACUCAGAUUUUCUGUUUCACACUCAUUCUCUUCACUGUGCCCCACCCAUAAGCCACCUGUUCCUAAUUUCCUCCAAGCUUAUGCUUUGCUGCCCACCCCCAACCCAUUGGAUGCCUUGUACCCUUCUCUUCAAUAGCCGUCUUAACUAUUCUUUACAGCCUGUGGCUCUUAAACAUGCAUGCUCGUUUGAAUAGAAUAUUCUGUCCAUUCCCGUUUCGCUGGAGCCUCUCACAUUCUCUGGGAAGCAGCACCAUGUAGUGGAAAAGAACACGUGGUCUUUGGAGUCAGAUAGUCUAGAGUUUGAAUCCUUGAUGUACCACUUACUUGCUGGACUUCAAGCAAAAUGCUUGUCCUCUCUCUCUCAAUUUCGUCUUCCAUUAAAUGAGGAUAAUAAAGUCUAAAGGGUGAAAUGAGAUGAUGUAUAUAAACACCUAACAAGGUUAGAUGCAAUGUGAUAUGUAGGUGUGGUGGGGUGGGUGAUGAUAUAUGUUGAUCAUCUUUUAUUUCCAAUGUAGAUAUUCACAGUAGAUCUCACUGUAGUCUGGGGACUUUGGUUUUCUGCAGCUCAACAGUAACGACUGUCUUUUUGACUCUUUGUUUUUUGACUGUUUGAAAAGUGAAACAGGAAAGUACAUCUCCCUUUAGAGAAACUGACUUUAAAUCUUUAUAUUUUUAUACUUUGUAUUGACUAUUUAGUGGAGGAGCUUAACUUACUUUCCUAUAUUUUGGCUUGUUUUGUUGUGUGGGUGGGGAAGUCCAUGAUAAAAGUGUGAGUUUAGAUAUGUAUGUCUUAGUCCUGCCUGAAUUCUUAGUUGUUCAUUUAAAAAAUAAAAACAAAAAAAAAACAGAUUGAGUCUGUUUAAAA